UCGGCUAUAUCGCAUUGAAACCCCAGUUCCCAUACGAUUGUUGAAGGUAAGCAACAACGAGCUUGGUCAGUACCUAGAUGGGUGACUGCUUGGGAAUUCCAGGUGUUGUAA